AGCAGCCGCGGUAAUUCCAGCUCCAAUAGCGUAUAUUAAAGUUGUUGCAGUUAAAAAGCUCGUAGUUGAAUUUCGGGGUUAGUAGGUUGGUCAUGCCUCUGGUAUGUACUGGUCUCACUGAUUCCUCCUUCCUGAUGAACCGUAAUGCCAUUAAUUUGGUGUUGCGGGGAAACUGGACUGUUACUUUGAAAAAAUUAGAGUGUUUAAAGCAGGCUAACGCUUGAAUACAUUAGCAUGGAAUAAUGAAAUAGGACGUUCGAUCCUAUUUUGUUGGUUUCUAGGAUUGACGUAAUGAUUAAUAGGGAUAGUUGGGGGCAUUAGUAUUCAAUUGUCAGAGGUGAAAUUCUUGGAUUUAUUGAAGACUAACUACUGCGAAAGCAUUUGCCAAGGAUGUUUUCAUUAAUCAAGAACGAAAGUUAGGGGAUCGAAGACGAUCAGAUACCGUCGUAGUCUUAACCAUAAACUAUGCCGACUAGGGAUCGGAUGAUGUUAAUUUUUUAAUGACUCA
rnacentral:rRNA from 1 species